UUGAAUGAUGGAUGUGAUGAAACGGUGGACAAUAUGAACUUUGUGUCUUAAAGUGGAUGUCUUGUGAAGAGCAUAAAGAAUGCAUGCUUAAUAGCUCACCCAUAAGUACCAGAUAAACAGUUUAGCGGAGGGUUUUCUUUACGACCGGAUGAACGGCACAGGCUGUUUCUCUCUUACGGUUGACGUGUUUGCUCUUCGAAUGUAGCAUUGAAAAACAAUGACGCAAGAGACGCGUCUCGUGAAUGUCACUCGGGAGGGAACAGAUACACACACGUGGCCAACCCGUACCCGGUCGAGCCUAAGUGGAAGCGUGCCGCGGUCCGUUCGACUCCAUUCUGCUUGGUGAUUUGAGGAGACCGUGCCUGACUGAAAGCGCAAAGCCAGACGAAUGCCACGGGCUUUUGCGGUUGACGCGUCAUUGUUUUUCAACGGCAAAAUUGAAGAGCGAACGCAAGAGACGCGUCUCGUGAAUGUUACUCGGGAGGGAACAGAUACACGCGGCCAACCCGUACCCGGUCGAGCCUCGGUGGAAGCGUGCCGCGAUCCGUUCGAAUGAAUUCUGCUUGGUGAUUUGAGGAGACCGUGCCUGACCUAAAGC